CAGCCGUAAACAAUGUGCGUUAGGUGUGUCGGUAACCACGCGUUACUGAUGCGCCGAAGAGAAAUCGUGAAACGCACCACCUGGGAAGUACGGUCGCAAGGCUGAAACUUAAAGGAAUUGGCGGGGGGAGCACCACAACAGGUGGAGCCUGCGGUUUAAUUGGACUCAACGCCGGAAAUCUCACCGGAUAGGACAGACAUAUGAUAGUCGGGCUGAAGACUCUACUUGAUGAUCUGAGAGGAGGUGCAUGGCGUCAGUGACU
rnacentral:rRNA from 1 species